AGGAUCAAUGAUGACCAGGUGGCAUAUGACUUGUGUACCAUGACUGCAGGUCUGGGGAGUCUGAGGUCCAC